rnacentral:misc_RNA from 1 species
UGUGGCAUCACCAUCGCCUCCGAGGUUUAUUUAAUUCCUCCUUUUUAACAUGAUGUACUUGGGUUUUCAUAAAAAUGUAACAAAAUGAAAGCUUUUAUCUUUGCUAGUUUCUAUUUAAGAUCACUGCCCUUCAUGAGCAAAAAUUUUGAACAGUAUAUAUAUAUAUAACCUAUUCUGACUUUGUUUGCUAUCCAAUAAGCACAACUGUUGGCAGUACGAGGAAUGUGCAUUAUUGAUGCGUACUUUAAUUAAAUUUGGCAAUCUUAGCUGAGGGGGGAAGUUGUACUCUCAGCUUUAUAUGUUUUUAGUGUGAUUGAGAAACGAGUGAAUAGUGAUGUAGUCAUGUAGCUUUAGUGUUUGUUUAGUAUGCUAUUUUGCUCUUAAAGCGUUAGACUUCUUG